GAUGAACGCUGGCGGCGUGCCUAAUACAUGCAAGUCGAGCGAACAGACGAGGAGCUUGCUCCUCUGACGUUAGCGGCGGACGGGUGAGUAACACGUGGAUAACCUACCUAUAAGACUGGGAUAACUUCGGGAAACCGGAGCUAAUACCGGAUAAUAUAUUGAACCGCAUGGUUCAAUAGUGAAAGACGGUUUUGCUGUCACUUAUAGAUGGAUCCGCGCUGCAUUAGCUAGUUGGUAAGGUAACGGCUUACCAAGGCAACGAUGCGUAGCCGACCUGAGAGGGUGAUCGGCCACACUGGAACUGAGACACGGUCCAGACUCCUACGGGAGGCAGCAGUAGGGAAUCUUCCGCAAUGGGCGAAAGCCUGACGGAGCAACGCCGCGUGAGUGAUGAAGGUCUUCGGAUCGUAAAACUCUGUUAUUAGGGAAGAACAGAUGUGUAAGUAACUGUGCACGUCUUGACGGUACCUAAUCAGAAAGCCACGGCUAACUACGUG
rnacentral:rRNA from 1 species